rnacentral:ncRNA from 1 species
AGAAAAACUAUGAAGAGAAGAGUAGAUAUAGAUUAUAUUUUAAAGCGAGUGGAUGAUGGUGUAAGUUCCAUAAAUAUGCUAUAUUGAAGAACAUCUCGGAGUUUCUAACCGAAAUCUUUAUGAAAGUAGACUUAGAGGUUACCAAAGCCUUAUUUUGGAUUGUAUGAUUAUUUCAUACUUUAAAGUUGGCCUUUUGGCAAUUUGGGUGGUACCGCGGAAUAUAUACCUUUCGUCCCUUUU